AUGACAACCUCAGUGAGGAUGACAUCAAUGAGUGUGAGAAGGAAGACCUUCUGCACGAGGAUGAUGGUGUGCCACAUCCCGACCAUGUCCUCAAGAAGAAAAAGAGAAGAAAGGACAUCAGCAUGAGGAAGAAAAGAGGGAAGUUAAAGCAGGGAGAGAAGGAUGGGACUGAAGAGGCUCAGCUGCAUAAGCAAGACAGUGACGAUGAGGAGAAACGGAAGAAGAAAUCAGAUGAUCUUUGGGCAAGUUUCCUGUCCGACGUGGGAUCAAGACCCAAUGACUCUGCACCUGCCUGCAAGUCAGAGAGCACAGACGACACUGAAUCUUCAGUAAUAAAGGGGACUUCUUUAAGUACAGAAACCAAACCAUCUCAACCAGCUAAAGUCACCAUCACCAAAGUGUUUGACUUCGCUGGAGAAGAAGUUCGGGUAAAUAAGGAGGUAUCAAUUGAUUCAAAGGAAGCUAAGAGUUAUCUGAAGAGUCAGAGCACUCAACAGGAGGAAGAUGAGGAUGAGGAGACGCUCUCAUCCCCCACGCAGCCAUCUCUUCCUGGUCCCAGCGCUAAACGUCCAGCAGGCAUGUCCAGCAUCCUUAGUCGCAUUGGAGGAAAGAAACAAAAAAUGAGCACGCUGGAAAAGUCAAAGAUGGACUGGGAUGCUUUUAAAUCAGAAGAGGGCAUCACCGAGGAGCUCGCCAUCCACAACAGAGGCCGAGAAGGAUACUGGAUGGUGGAAGGUUUCAGCACCCAGCCCUUCCCUUCUCGUUUCCUGCUUCACAAACUUGCCAGGUGCAUGGUCUCGCUAGGUAGCUCAGAUUGUGUGGAAUGACAGACCUGUGAGGAAUAGCAAGGCCGUGGAAAAGACAUGGAAUUGCUUUUAGAACCGAACGUGACAGCGGCAGUGUGGGAGCACUUUGGAUUUAAACCAACGGACCGUGGUGAAGCGCCUCACCUGGACGAGGCAGCCUGUUGCAUUUGUUCCGCAGUAGUGGCAGCAAAAGACAGCAAUCUAACAAAGUUGCAGCUGCACCUAAAACACAUCCUCCCAAUGCAGUUUUGCCCUGCUGUGAAAAAAAUCCCAACCAGUGGGCCGUCUUCCUGACCGCCCACUGUCACUGGAGCGUUAGGCUUAGUGAGUACUUACAGAAAUUAGUAGAUUUUCAGCUAGCGUGGCCUAGACUGAUGAGCAGUUUCAGGUCGGAAACUUGAAGAACAGAUUUUCUUCCAGUCAGUGAAUGCACCUCUGGAAGCUUUACCAGGUUGCAUCAAUAACAACACUCUUGAUGGACGCUGUCAGAGCGUACUAUUUUGAAUAUAUAUUUAUGUACUGGGUUAGCCAAACAAACAAUUAUUUUAGGCACAGAUAUGUGCCUAAAAUAUUCUGUCACAAACGCACGAUUACUCUCAGGUUUUCAGAGCAAUCCACCAGUUAAUAACUCUUAUAAUAGCAUUAUGAUAGCACUUCCAGACAGAGCAAUAGAUAUUCUAGUGUGUUUUGAAAAUGAAAGGAAUUUUCCAUAUCCAGCAGACAUAACGUAACUGUAGGAGAAAACUGUUGCUCCAGCCUCCCUCAGCAUGACUGCAGUGUUCUUCUCCAGAUUCCUUUUAGUUUUCUUAAAGGCGUUGGAGCUGACCUGCUGCCUUUUUAUAGGCCUUAUUUUUACCUUUUACACACCAGAUUGGGUAAAUCUUUGAACAAACAUUGUGCUAUUUUCUGUGUUUAAUGUGUGUAGUGUUUUCGAGAAAGUGUGAUGCAGAUGUUGAAUUUGGCCUGGUAUUUAGAUACCUAUAUGCUAACAGUGCAAUACUUGUUUGUUUAUCAGCAAAGCUAAAACCCAUUCUCUCUUUGAUAUUGAUUAGGAUUCAGAGAUGCAUGGUGACACAUGCACACAUUGUCCUGGGAGUUUACUCCUUCCUUAACUCCAGUCAUGCACUCUGUGCUGUGGGAGCAUGUGUUUGAGUUGAGAAUGCUACAAUCCCAGCAGGCACAUCCACCCUGCCCUCUGAAGAACUGCCAGAGUCCCUGUAUGCUUGUUUUGUUUAAAACAAUAAAUGAAUUGACUCAUCA